UACGGAGGGUGCAAGCGUUAUCCGGAUUCACUGGGUUUAAAGGGUGCGUAGGUGGGUUGGUAAGUCAGUGGUGAAAUCUCCGAGCUUAACUUGGAAACUGCCAUUGAUACUAUCAGUCUUGAAUACCGUAGAGGUCAGCGGAAUAUGUCAUGUAGCGGUGAAAUGCUUAGAUAUGACAUAGAACACCAAUUGCGAAGGCAGCUGGCUACACGAAUAUUGACACUGAGGCACGAAAGCGUGGGGAUCAAACAGG
rnacentral:rRNA from 1 species